GCCCCAGCUUUAUUGACGACUUCUGGGUUGGAGUAGCGGAGAGGUUCGAGAUCGAGAGAGAGAGAUCUGAGAACAAGGGAUGGUCAAUCCCAGGGCCGCCUCCUCUUUUUCUUCUCCUUCUCCACUUCUCCGAUUUCGAAUCCACACCUCUUCCUCGAUCUCUCGCUGCGUUGCGCUCCUCCUCGCCUUCUCCGCUGUCCUCUUUUUCUUCUCCCACAGACAAAUCGAUGAGGUCGACCGCAAUCCCCUCUCCUUAGAGGAGUUUUUCUCGGUGUCAGAAGAGCAGCUAUGGGGUUCUUCUUUUGGUCAUGGCUAUUAUCCUUGUGUGAAGCCCACCUCUAGAUAUGCAGCUUCCGAGAACUGGGAUCGCUACUUAACUGUUAGAAGUAAUGGAGGACUCAACCAAAUGCGCACUGGUAUAUCUGACAUGGUUGCUGUGGCUCGUUUAAUGAAUGCAACACUAGUAAUUCCUUGGUUAGACAAGAAAUCCUUUUGGCAAGACUCCAGCACUUUUUCAGACAUUUUCGAUGAGCUUCAUUUUAUCAAAUCUCUACAAGGAGAUGUAAGAAUUGUGAAAGAGCUACCCAAGGAGUUGGAGUCAGCUCCAAGGGCCCGCAAGCACUUCACUUCCUGGUCUGGUGUGAGUUAUUAUGAGGAGAUGGCACGACUAUGGAAGGAUUAUCAGGUAAUUCAUGUUCCCAAGUCAGAUUCAAGGCUAGCUAACAAUGGCCUUCCUAUUGAUAUUCAAAAGUUGCGGUGCCGUGCACUAUAUCAUGCACUUCAUUUUGCAGCUUCAAUUGAGAGCCUUGGAAAGAAGCUAGUGGAGCGGUUGCAGUCCCAUGGCCGAUAUAUUGCUCUUCAUCUGCGUUAUGAGAAGGAUAUGCUGUCAUUUACUGGUUGUACUUAUGGCCUGAGUGACUUGGAAGCUGAAGAGCUGAGAAUUAUGAGGGAGAAUACAAACCACUGGAAAUUGAAGAAGAUAAACUCAACAGAACAGAGAAUCGGGGGCUAUUGCCCUGUAACUCCCAAGGAGGUGGGGAUAUUUCUGCAAGCUUUGGGAUAUCCUCCAUCCACCUGGAUUUACAUUGCUGCCGGUGAAAUCUAUGGUGGUGAUACUUACCUUGCAGAUUUGAGAUCUCGCUUCCCAAACUUGGUCUUCAAGGAGACAUUGGCGACAACAGAAGAGUUGCAGAAUUUUGCUAGUCAUGCUUCACAGACUGCAGCUCUAGACUACAUUAUAUCAGUUGAAAGUGAUGUGUUUGUACCCUCAUAUACAGGCAACAUGGCAAGAGCCGUUGAAGGGCAUCGCAGAUUUCUAGGGCACCGCAAGACAAUCAGCCCAGACAGGAGAGGAUUGGUGGAACUUUUUGAUAAGAUAGAAAGAGGAGAGCUGAAGGAAGGUCGAAAAUUAUCAUCACUUGUUACCGAAAUGCACAAAUUCAGACAAGGGGCUCCAAGGAAAAGGUAUGGUUCUCUGUCCGGAAGUAAAGGCCGAGCUCGGCUUAGGACUGAAGAAUCCUUCUAUGAGAACCCAUUUCCUGAAUGCAUCUGCCUCUCUGGAAAGAAUUCGCAUGUGUAUAGGCAACAGUAAAAAGCGAAGGUCUUACACUAAGGAUCUGUUUGGCUGCUGAGGAAAUGAAAGAAAAGUAACUCUUGGGGCUGGUGUAAAGAUCGGUGGUGCAGUUUCUAAUAUUUCUAUAUUCUGGGGUUCCAAGAUAAAGUUCCGUCUCCCUUCUAUUUCCAUUCUAGAGCUCCAAGAUAGCUUAUACAUGAUUUUUUUUUUCUGGAGGGCAAAAUGCCCAUGCUGUAUUAUUUUUGUUUUCAUUAAUGUUUAGCCAGGUUCAUUUUUUCAGCAUAGCUUAUUUCUACAGAUCAAUUUUGGAGUUUUUUCAGGAUUAUUUGUAUGUUUAUUCUUGUUUUGAACUUAAGACAUUUUGUGCUGGAUCUGUUUCUCGUAAGUGUUGAAAAUGGCUGUGAAGAAGUGCAGGAACAAUCCUGCCUAACUGAGAUCAACCUGAACUUGGGAUUGCAAAUCCAAUAAACUGGUCUCGAAUUGAGGAUACAGCAAAUCUUUGGUAACCAGAUCCAUUUUCUGCAUUGCUCCCAAGAUCAGUGCUUGGUUCCCUUUCUGAGUGUUGUUAUCCAAAAUUAUAUGAUACAUUUCCAA